rnacentral:rRNA from 1 species
AUUGAACGCUGGCGGCAGGCCUAACACAUGCAAGUCGAACGAGUGGCGGACGGGUGAGUAAUGUCUGGGAAACUGCCCGAUGGAGGGGGAUAACUACUGGAAACGGUAGCUAAUACCGCAUACCAUCGGAUGUGCCCAGAUGGGAUUAGCUAGUAGGUGGGGGAACGGAUAACCUAGGCGACGAUCCCUAGCUGGUCUGAGAGGAUGAACAGCGACACUGGAACUGAGACACGGUCAAGAUUCCUACGGGAGGCAGCAGUGGGGAAUAUUGCACAAUGGGCGCAAGCCUGAUGCAGCCAGGCAGCGUGUAUGAAGAAGGCCGUCGGGUUGUAAAGUACUUUCAGCGAGGAGGCGUUACUCGCAGAAGAAGCACCGGCUAACUCCGUGCCAGCAGCCGCGGUAAUUC